rnacentral:rRNA from 1 species
UACAGGAGGGGCAAGCGUUAUUCGGAAUUAUUGGGCGUAAAGGGCGCGUAGGCGGCCUGCUAAGUCGAACGUGAAAUCCCCGAGCUCAACUCGGGAACUGCGUCCGAAUGACUGGCAGGCUUGAAUCCGGGAGAGGGAUGCGGAAUUCCAGGUGUAGCGGUGAAAUGCGUAGAUAUCUGGAGGAACACCGGUGGCGAAGGCGGCAUCCUGGACCGGCAUUGACGCUGAGGCGCGAAAGCCAGGGGAGCAAACGGG